AUUGAACGCUGGCGGCAGGCCUAACACAUGCAAGUCGAACGGUAACAGGAAGCAGCUUGCUGCUUUGCUGACGCGUGGCGGACGGGUGAGUCAUGUCUGGGAAACUGCCUGAUGGAGGGGGAUAACUACUGGAAACGGUAGCUAAUACCGCAUAACGUCUCAAGACCAAAGAGGGGGACCUUCGGGCCUCUUGCCAUCGGAUGUGCCCUGAUGGGAUUAGCUAGUAGGUGGGGUAACGGCUCACCUAGGCGACGAUCCCUAGCUGGUCUGAGAGGAUGACCAGCCACACUGGAACUGAGACACGGUCCAGACUCCUACGGGAGGCAGCAGUAGGGAAUAUUGCACAAUGGGCGCAAGCCUGAUGCAGCCAUGCCGCGUGUAUGAAGAAGGCCUUCGGGUUGUAAAGUACUUUCAGCGGGGAGGAAGGGAGUAAAGUUAAUACCUUUGCUCAUUGACGUUACCCGCAGAAGAAGCACCGGCUAACUCCGUG
rnacentral:rRNA from 1 species